UCAUCCAGGAGAGAGAUGCACACGCACAAGAGGCUGUCAAGCUCAAAGAAGAGGUUCAGAAGAAAGGGAAACAACUGGAAGACUUGAAGACUGAGCUGGACAAACUGAAACACGAGUCUACAAGGAAAGCUGAGGAGCUGAUGCAGAAAUCUCAGACAGAGACUGAACUGUUGUCACAAGAAUUAGAGUCACUGAAGGUU
rnacentral:sRNA from 1 species